rnacentral:rRNA from 1 species
AUUGAACGCUGGCGGCAGGCCUAACACAUGCAAGUCGAACGGUAACAGGAAGCAGCUUGCUGCUUCGCUGACGAGUGGCGGACGGGUGAGUAAUGUCUGGGAAGCUGCCUGAUGGAGGGGGAUAACUACUGGAAACGGUAGCUAAUACCGCAUAAUGUCGCAAGACCAAAGAGGGGGACCUUCGGGCCUCUUGCCAUCGGAUGUGCCCAGAUGGGAUUAGCUUGUUGGUGGGGUAACGGCUCACCAAGGCGACGAUCCCUAGCUGGUCUGAGAGGAUGACCAGCCACACUGGGACUGAGACACGGUCCAGACUCCUACGGGAGGCAGCAGUGGGGAAUAUUGCACAGUGGGCGCAAGCCUGAUGCAGCCAUGCCGCGUGUAUGAAGAAGGCCUUCGGGUUGUAAAGUACUUUCAGCGGGGAGGAAGGGAGUAAAGUUAAUACCUUUGCUCAUUGACGUUACCCGCAGAAGAAGCACCGGCUAACUCCGU